rnacentral:tRNA from 1 species
CGCGCGGUAGCUCAACUGGCCAAGAGCCUCGGUGUCCCGGUCACCCCCGUGCCGGACAGCGCCGAGAGACAUGGGUUCGAGUCCCGUCCGCGCAC